GUCGCUUCUCAGCCUUUUGGCUAAGAUCAAGUGUAGUAUCUGUUCUUAUCAGUUUAAUAUCUGAUACAUCCCCUACCUGGGGGGCUAUAUAUUAAAUUGAUUUUUGGGACAGGGAGAUGGAAUAGGGGCUUGCUCCGUCCACCCCACGCAUCGACCCAGUAUUGCAGUACUUCUGGGAAUGGUGCACCUCCU